AGGGAAACCGAGUCUUAACCGGGCGUUAAGUUGCAGGGUAUAGACCCGAAACCCGGUGAUCUAGCCAUGGGCAGGUUGAAGGUUGGGUAACACUAACUGGAGGACCGAACCGACUAAUGUUGAAAAAUUAGCGGAUGACCUGUGGCUGGGGGUGAAAGGCCAAUCAAACCGGGAGAUAGCUGGUUCUCCCCGAAAGCUAUUUAGGUAGCGCCUCGUGAAUUCAUCUCCGGGGGUAGAGCACUGUUUCGGCUAGGGGGCCAUCCCGGCUUACCAACCCGAUGCAAACUGCGAAUACCGGAGAAUGUUAUCACGGGAGACACACGGCGGGUGCUAACGUCCGUCGUGAAGAGGGAAACAACCCAGACCGCCAGCUAAGGUCCCAAAGUUAUGGUUAAGUGGGAAACGAUGUGGGAAGGCCCAGACAGCCAGGAUGUUGGCUUAGAAGCAGCCAUCAUUUAAAGAAAGCGUAAUAGCUCACUGGUCGAGUCGGCCUGCGCGGAAGAUGUAACGGGGCUAAACCAUGCACCGAAGCUGCGGCAGCGACGCUUAUGCGUUGUUGGGUAGGGGAGCGUUCUGUAAGCCGUUGAAGGUGGCCUGUGAGGGUUGCUGGAGGUAUCAGAAGUGCGAAUGCUGACAUAAGUAACGAUAAAGCGGGUGAAAAGCCCGCUCGCCGGAAGACCAAGGGUUCCUGUCCAACGUUAAUCGGGGCAGGGUGAGUCGACCCCUAAGGCGAGGCCGAAAGGCGUAGUCGAUGGGAAACGGGUUAAUAUUCCCGUACUUGGUGUUACUGCGAAGGGGGGACGGAGAAGGCUAUGUUGGCCGGGCGACGGUUGUCCCGGUUUAAGCGUGUAGGUGUGUGUUCCAGGUAAAUCCGGUUCACUUUAACACUGAGGCGUGACGACGAGGCACUACGGUGCUGAAGCAACAAAUGCCCUGCUUCCAGGAAAAGCCUCUAAGCAUCAGGUAACAUCAAAUCGUACCCCAAACCGACACAGGUGGUCAGGUAGAGAAUACCAAGGCGCUUGAGAGAACUCGGGUGAAGGAACUAGGCAAAAUGGUGCCGUAACUUCGGGAGAAGGCACGCUGACACGUAGGUGAAGUGAUUUACUCACGGAGCUGAAGUCAGUCGAAGAUACCAGCUGGCUGCAACUGUUUAUUAAAAACACAGCACUGUGCAAACACGAAAGUGGACGUAUACGGUGUGACGCCUGCCCGGUGCCGGAAGGUUAAUUGAUGGGGUCAGCGCAAGCGAAGCUCCUGAUCGAAGCCCCGGUAAACGGCGGCCGUAACUAUAACGGUCCUAAGGUAGCGAAAUUCCUUGUCGGGUAAGUUCCGACCUGCACGAAUGGCGUAAUGAUGGCCAGGCUGUCUCCACCCGAGACUCAGUGAAAUUGAACUCGCUGUGAAGAUGCAGUGUACCCGCGGCAAGACGGAAAGACCCCGUGAACCUUUACUAUAGCUUGACACUGAACAUUGAGCCUUGAUGUGUAGGAUAGGUGGGAGGCUUUGAAGUGUGGACGCCAGUCUGCAUGGAGCCGACCUUGAAAUACCACCCUUUAAUGUUUGAUGUUCUAACGUGGACCCGU
rnacentral:rRNA from 1 species